UUCGUAGGCGGUGCGGUAAGUCGGAAGUGAAAUCUCUGGGCUUAACUCAGAGGCUGCUUUCGAAACUGCCGUGCUAGAGUGCGGGAGAGGCGAGUGGAAUUACAGGUGUAGCGGUGAAAUGCGUAGAUAUCUGUAGGAACACCCGUGGCGAAGGCGGCUCGCUGGACCGCAACUGACGCUGAGGAACGAAAGCUAGGGAGCAAACA
rnacentral:rRNA from 1 species